GGUCCCUUGGUCUAGUGGAAUGACGUUCGGUUUUGAUCCGAAAGGUCGUCGGUUCGAACCCGGCAGGGACCU
rnacentral:tRNA from 1 species